GAGGGGCGGCGAGGCGAGGCUUGUGUGGUGGGCGCGUGCUCGCGCGCGCGCGCGCGUGGGCACGUGGGGCCCCUUCGCCCCAGGCGUCCGGGCGCCCCGUACCAGGCCCCCCACCCCUGUCCUGGUCUCCCCACGGCAGCUGAUGAAUUCACGUAGGCCCAGAGAGAUGAAGUGACUAAUUCAAGGUCACACAGUGGAGGAUGGAUUCCAGACCUUCUGAUUUCCUUAUUGACCUGCAGUAUCUUGUGUAUACGUGAUUGAAUUCCACACCACCCAUUUUACAGAUGAAGCCACUGAGAUAUGGAACAAUUGACUAAAUAGUCACUGCCCCACCCCUGGAGCCUCACACAUGACUCUUCUCCUCCCAUUUGAAUGACUGCAGGAACGCUUUCCAUCAUCCCCCUGACAGAUGAUCACCCAAGUUCUUUUUGAAUACUUCCAUUGCUGGGGAGCUAGCUCAUUACUUCUUGAGGAAUCCCAUUAUAUGUGACUUGUUCUCUUGGUUUCAAGUGAUACAGAUGGGAAGUCCAGUGCCAAUAGGAUUAUUUUUCCUUGGCUUCUUUUUUCUUUUUCCUCAUACUCUUCCUAGGUGAUCUCAACUUCUCUGACAGCUCCACUUAACAUCUACACAUGGAUGAUGCCCAGAUCUUUCUAUGGACCACAGUAUCCAACUGCUCAUGUAGACAACAUCACAAGGAUGUUUUGCAUACUCGGCAAAAUGCAGCCUCCUGCUCUUCCCCACUUGCUCAUCAUCCAUUGUCCUCAUCACAUGUGAAAAGUGGUCUUGUCACUGUAAAUAUGGUGGUUGAGAAUGUGACUCUGAUACGAUGUGAUGUGAUAUGGAAUAUGAUUCUGGAGCCAGCCUGCUGGGGCCUGAAUUCGGACAUAACCACUUACUGUGUGACCUUGGAGGGAGACACAGAGAGAGAAGAUGUCCGUAUGAAGAUGGAAGCAGAGAUUGGAGUUGUGCUGCCACGAACCAAGGGAUGGCAAGGAUUACUGGCAACCACCAGAAGCUGGAAGAGACAAGGAAAGAUUCUCCUCUGGAGCCUUCAGAGGGAGCAUGACCCUGC